rnacentral:rRNA from 1 species
UACAGAGACUGCAAGCGUUAUUCGGAUUCACUGGGCGUAAAGGGUGCGCAGGCGGCCAAGUGUGUGAGGCGUGAAAGCCCGGGGCUUAACUCCGGAAUUGCACCUCAAACUACAUGGCUAGAGCAUUGGAGAGGGUAGCAGAAUUCACGGUGUAGCAGUGAAAUGCGUAGAUAUCGUGAGGAAUACCAGAGGCGAAGGCGGCUACCUGGACAAUUGCUGACGCUCAGGCACGAAAGCGUGGGGAGCAAAACGG